GACGAACGCUGGCGGCGUGCCUAAUACAUGCAAGUUGAGCGAUGAAGAUUGGUGCUUGCCCCAAUUUGAAGAGCAGCGAACGGGUGAGUAACGCGUGGGGAAUCUGCCUUUGAGCGGGGGACAACAUUUGGAAACGAAUGCUAAUACCGCAUAAUAACUUUAAACAUAAGUUUUAAGUUUGAAAGAUGCAAUUGCAUCACUCAAAGAUGAUCCCGCGUUGUAUUAGCUAGUUGGUGAGGUAAAGGCUCACCAAGGCGAUGAUACAUAGCCGACCUGAGAGGGUGAUCGGCCACAUUGGGACUGAGACACGGCCCAAACUCCUACGGGAGGCAGCAGUAGGGAAUCUUCGGCAAUGGACGAAAGUCUGACCGAGCAACGCCGCGGGAGUGAAGAAGGGUUUCGGAUCGUAAAACUCUGUUGGUAGAGAAGAACGUUGGUGAGAGUGGAAAGCUCAUCAAGUGACGGUAACUACCCAGAAAGGGACGGCUAACUACGUG
rnacentral:rRNA from 1 species